UACAGAGGGGGCAAGCGUUGUUCGGAAUUACUGGGCGUAAAGGGCGCGUAGGCGGCCGGCUAAGUCGAACGUGAAAUCCCCGGGCUCAACCCGGGAACUGCGUCCGAUACUGGUCGGCUUGAAUUCGGGAGAGGGAUGCGGAAUUCCAGGUGUAGCGGUGAAAUGCGUAGAUAUCUGGAGGAACACCGGUGGCGAAGGCGGCAUCCUGGACCGAGAUUGACGCUGAGGCGCGAAAGCCAGGGGAGCAAACGGGG
rnacentral:rRNA from 1 species